GAUGAACGCUAGCAGUAUGCCUUAUACAUGCAUGUCGAACGAAGUGCUUUAUGCACUUAGUGGCAAAUGGGUGAGUAACACGGUACUUAACCUACCUUUUAGAUUGGAAUAACCAUGAGAAAUCGUGGAUAAUACCGAAUAUGAUUUAUUUCGCAUGAAAUUAUUUUGAAAGAAGCGUUUGCUUACGCUAAAAGAUGGGGUGCGCGACAUUAGUUGUUGUAGGUAAAGCUACAAGACUAUGAUGUCUAGCCGAGCUGAGAGCUGACCGGCCACAUUGGACUGAGAUACGGCCCAGACCGCUACGGUGGGCAGCAGUAGGGAAUUUUUCACAAUGAACGAAAGUUUGAAUGGAGCAAUACUGUGUGCAGGAAGAAGGUCUUCGGAUUGUAAACUGCUGUCGUAAGGAAGAAAAGCUUUU
rnacentral:rRNA from 1 species